AUUUCAAACCACACUUUUUUCUUUCUUUCGUUUACACAUAAUUUUCUCUCUAAAUUCCUCUUCAUUUCUUCUCUCUCUGGUCUAAAACCCACCGAGCCCCGAUACCACUAUGAACCGCCUAUCUAUUUUCGUGAAUCACUCCAGCAUCAAUUUGAAUUUAUUAGUGCAAAAUCAAACUUCAAUUUGACCAAAGGAAGGAUUUAGGUGAUGAAACCCCCAAAAAGUGAUGGUAAUUGGUUCAAAUCCACACAUAAACAUCAAAGGCAAAGCUUCAACAACUGCAUCAACAACCGUGAAACCACUGUUGGAUUCACCGGAGGUACCAUUUUCACAACCAAGUUCAUGUUUCAGAUUUCUAUUUCCAUGGGCGGUUCAUGUUCAUCUAAAUUUCGAUUGCAGCAGAUGGCACGCCGUACAGGUAAAUGAUUCUAACAUUUAGCCGACUGUAUGCCUAAUAUUGGACUUCUGGCUUCCAGAAUUGAAUGAUAUUAUAAAUAUAUGUUCUAGAUAUUUCUUUUAGAUGUGGUGAAAUAGAUAAUGUGUUGGAUAAAUGAAAAAAGUUAUAAUAUAAGUCUGCUAAUAUGAAGUUGAUUAUAAAAAAAAAAUUGAAGGCAUUAAUUAUCACCCUUUGCAUCUUACCUACUUUGAGGGUUUUCUAAUUUUGUGAUUUUUUCCCUUAAAUUUAUGUAUGUUAGGGUUUUGAUGUUUGAAGUUAUUCCAUAUGGCAGAUGAUGAGCACCUUUUGAAUUUGAAACAAAGCUCAUAUUGUUAUCUAUUGUCCCCUUAAUAAUCAUGUUGACUGUGCAUCGGUUGUUUGAAAACUGUUUUGGUAAUUAUUAUUCCUCAAUGGUGAUUUAAAUUCAAUUUAAGCUUGAUUUUGUAAUUUCUAGAGAAAAACAAGAUUUGUGCUUGACUUUAAUAUAUGUAUGUUCAGAAAGUAUUAUAGGCUUAAAUAUCAUUACAAUUCUCAAUUCUGGUAUGUAAACUAGAAUGAACUAGCGCCCUGCUGGCUGCUAUUCAUGCCUAGAUAGCAACUUAUCUUAUCCCUGUACCAACUUAAAACCUUUGAAGACAUAGAAGCCUUUUAACGAAAGAAGUAAUCACUAUACUCAAAGAAUUAUGGGUCCAAGUUAGCAUAUAGGCAAGCAUGCUUCAUUCGUGUUUUUUUAAUUAACAAAUUGGAUUGGAUAUAUAACGUUAUAAAUAAAAGAGAUAAAAGUUAAUUUGAAAAGAUCUUGAAACUAGGGAAAAGUAUACUCUAUGUUUUGAGGAUGAAUUAGAAAUGGUUGUGGGGACUCGAUUAAACUCACAAAAAAAGACGAAAGCAUAUGACAGUUAGUUGUGAUCCUUUUUUAAUUGCAUAUAUGGGAUUAUCCUUCAUCAAUUUUGGCACAAUUUGAAUUUCUUUGUUGGUUUGUAUUGGUUAAAAAAUCUCCUGAGUAUAGAUCAUAAACUCUGCACUAUCAAUUUUUGGUGAAGCUUAUUUUUUAAGGUACUAUUUACAUGUAGCAUCUUAUUCUGGUAAUUCUUCGUUUAAGUAUUUGAGAUAUUGUUUCACAUAUUUGAUUAUCUCGAUUCUUUGUUAAUUGGAGGUCUCAUUAUUAAACUUUUUGUGUUUAUUUUACUUCAUAAAUAAAAUAUACAUGCUCAAUUGUAACUUUAUUAGAACAAUUGAUGUAGUGGGGUUCUAUUUGUGGUUUCCUUUUGAUUGAUGUACAUUAACAAAUCAAAUCAUCUUAAUAUGAGGGGUAGUUAACAAAAGAGCUUCUAUUUUUUUUUAGUCAGCCAAAGAUUAAACUUUUAUUGACACACAAAGAAAAGGCUCCUUAGCAAGAAGCUAAAAGAAGCCCUGCAAAAAUAGAAGCACAAAAGAGAACAGAAAUACAGAACCUUAAUUAAAGUUAAUCUUCGGUUUCUAAUGAUUUCUUUAUUUACAAUACGUAUAAAGUUGAAAACUUGACAACUCGGUUGAGAAUUUACGGUUUGGGGAGAGUUUGAGGGUCGUGGAGUAUUUUAAAGAGGUGUAUGGGUAUGAGAUACAGUAUAGGAAUUGGUCGCGUUUGCAGACGAGUCGGAGGCAGGUGUGUUACCUGCUGAUAGAGGUGUGUAUUAUGUGUGAUGGGCAGAAGUUUACGGGAAACUUUCAGAUGAGCAAACGGGGAGAAUGUUGAAGUUGGGGUGCUAGAAACCGAUGGAACGGAAAGCGAUUAUUGAUAGGUUAUGGUUGGAUCCUUUGGUCCAUCUAGAAAACGUUUGAAGAAAAGGAGCAAAAAUGGGGGAAUAUGAAUAACCGCAAGGAAUGCAGAGCUCUAUUUAGAAAUCCUACACAACGAAAGCAACAUACGUUUUGUGCCCAAGCUGAGUUUUUUUAACAGGUUGAUGGUAAAUUUACCAGAUGCUCCAAACAGGGAGAAAAUAUUAAGAGUGAUAUUGGCAAAAGAGGAAUAAAAGAAAAGAGUCAUGCAAGAGAAGUGGAAAAGUCUAAUUUGCAAGAAAAGUCAAAGGUAAGCCAAGAAGCUGAAAUCAAGAAGUUAAGAAAGAGUUUGAAUUUCAAAGCAGCACCGAUGCCGAGUUUUUACAAAGAGCCCCCUCCUAAAGUGGAACUCAAGAAGGUAUUUUAUGUGAAAUUAUUGUAAAACCCGUGAGAAUCUCAAUGAUAUCAAUCUAAACCUUGUGAGAGCGCGGAAAUCAAACACAAGGUGAUUCAAGAACUAA